UGCCCAGCAACUCCUAACCCAUCCUCCGCGUGAAACCGGCCGGGCUAUGGUAUAUGGUCGUUGAUUGGGAAGG
rnacentral:ribozyme from 1 species